rnacentral:rRNA from 1 species
GAUGAACGCUGGCGGCGUGCCUAAUACAUGCAAGUCGAGCGAACAGACGAGGAGCUUGCUCCUCUGACGUUAGCGGCGGACGGGUGAGUAACACGUGGAUAACCUACCUAUAAGACUGGGAUAACUUCGGGAAACCGGAGCUAAUACCGGAUAAUAUAUUGAACCGCAUGGUUCAAUAAUGAAAGACGGUUUUGCUGUCACUUAUAGAUGGUUCCGCGCCGCAUUAGCUAGUUGGUAAGGUAACGGCUUACCAAGGCAACGAUGCGUAGCCGACCUGAGAGGGUGAUCGGCCACACUGGAACUGAGACACGGUCCAGACUCCUACGGGAGGCAGCAGUAGGGAAUCUUCCGCAAUGGGCGAAAGCCUGACGGAGCAACGCCGCGUGAGUGAUGAAGGUCUUCGGAUCGUAAAACUCUGUUAUUAGGGAAGAACAAAUGUGUAAGUAACUAUGCACGUCUUGACGGUACCUAAUCAGAAAGCCACGGCUAACUACGUG